rnacentral:rRNA from 1 species
AACGAACGCUGGCGGCAUGCCUAACACAUGCAAGUCGAACGAGACCUUCGGGUCUAGUGGCGCACGGGUGCGUAACGCGUGGGAACCUGCCCUUAGGUUCGGAAUAACUCCCCGAAAGGGGUGCUAAUACCGGAUAAUGUCUUCGGACCAAAGAUUUAUCGCCUUUGGAUGGGCCCGCGUUGGAUUAGCUAGUUGGUAGGGUAAAAGCCUACCAAGGCGACGAUCCAUAGCUGGUCUGAGAGGAUGAUCAGCCACACUGGGACUGAGACACGGCCCAGACUCCUACGGAAGGCAGCAGUGGGGAAUAUUGGACGAUGGGCGAAAGCCUGAUCCAGCAGUGCCGCGUGAGUGAUGAAGGCCUUAGGGUUGUAAAGCUCUUUUACCCGGGAUGAUAAUGACAGUACCGGGAGAAUAAGCUCCGGCUAACUCCGUG